GUUUGAUCCUGGCUCAGGACGAACGCUGGCGGCGUGCCUAACACAUGCAAGUCGAGCGGAGACAGUGAGUAGCUUGCUAUGAGCUGUUUUAGCGGCGGACGGGUGAGUAACGCGUGAGCAACCUUUCCCAGACAGGGGAAUAACACACCGAAAGGUGUACUAAUACCGCAUAAGACCACGGGAUCACAUGGUUCUGGGGUAAAAGAUUUAUCGGUUUGGGGUGGGCUCGCGUCCGAUUAGGUAGUUGGUGAGGUAACGGCCCACCAAGCCGACGAUCGGUAGCCGACCUGAGAGGGUGAUCGGCCACAUUGGGACUGAGACACGGCCCAAACUCCUACGGGAGGCAGCAGUGGGGAAUAUUGCACAAUGGGCGAAAGCCUGAUGCAGCGACGCCGCGUGAGCGAAGAAGUAUUUCGGUAUGUAAAGCUCUAUCAGCAGGGAAGAUAAUGACGGUACCUGACUAAGAAGCCCCGGCUAACUACGUGCCAGCAGCCGCGGUAAUACGUAGGGGGCAAGCGUUGUCCGGAAUAAUUGGGCGUAAAGGGCGCGUAGGCGGCUCGGUAAGUCUGGAGUGAAAGUCCUGCUUUUAAGGUGGGAAUUGCUUUGGAUACUGUCGGGCUUGAGUGCAGGAGAGGUUAGUGGAAUUCCCAGUGUAGCGGUGAAAUGCGUAGAGAUUGGGAGGAACACCAGUGGCGAAGGCGACUAACUGGACUGUAACUGACGCUGAGGCGCGAAAGUGUGGGGAGCAAACAGGAUUAGAUACCCUGGUAGUCCACACUGUAAACGAUGAAUGCUAGGUGUAGGGGGUAUCGACCCCUUCUGUGCCGCAGUCAACACAAUAAGCAUUCCGCCUGGGGAGUACGGCCGCAAGGUUGAAACUCAAAGGAAUUGACGGGGGCCCGCACAAGCAGCGGAGCAUGUGGUUUAAUUCGACGCAACGCGAAGAACCUUACCAGGUCUUGACAUCCACUUAAACUUACAGAGAUGUAAGGUGUGCUUGCACAAAGUGAGACAGGUGGUGCAUGGUUGUCGUCAGCUCGUGUCGUGAGAUGUUGGGUUAAGU
rnacentral:rRNA from 1 species